rnacentral:rRNA from 1 species
CAGCAGCCGCGGUAAUACGAAGGGUGCAAGCGUUAAUCGGAAUUACUGGGCGUAAAGCGCACGUAGGCGGACUUUUAAGUCAGGGGUGAAAUCCCGGGGCUCAACCUCGGAACUGCCUUUGAUACUGGAAGUCUUGAGUGUGGAAGAGGUAAGUGGAAUUGCGAGUGUAGAGGUGAAAUUCGUAGAUAUUCGCAGGAACACCAGUGGCGAAGGCGGCUUACUGGUCCACAACUGACGCUGAGGUGCGAAAGCGUGGGGAGCAAACAGGAUUAGAUACCCGAGUAGUCCCUGUCUCUUAUAC